rnacentral:rRNA from 1 species
GUCUACAGCCAUACCACCCUGACCGUGCCCUAUCUCAUCUGAUCUCAAGCUAAGCAGGGUCAGGUUAGUAGGUGCACGGGAAUAUUACUACUAAUAAAAGAGGAAGUUCUUUUUAAGAGCUGUGGAGC